rnacentral:rRNA from 1 species
CUGGGAGUACGGUCGCAAGAUUAAAACUCAAAGGAAUUGACGGGGACCCGCACAAGCGGUGAUGAUGUGGAUUAAUUCGAUGCAACGCGAAAAACCUUACCUACCCUUGACAUGGCUGGAAUCCCGGAGAGAUUUGGGAGUGCUCGAAAGAGAACCAGUACACAGGUGCUGCAUGGCUGUCGUCAGCUCGUGUCGUGAGAUGUUGGGUUAAGUCCCGCAACGAGCGCAACCCUUGUCAUUAGUUGCUACGAAAGGGCACUCUAAUGAGACUGCCGGUGACAAACCGGAGGAAGGUGGGGAUGACGUCAAGUCCUCAUGGCCCUUAUGGGUAGGGCUUCACACGUCAUACAAUGGUACAUACGGAGCGCCGCCAACCCGCGAGGGGGUGCUAAUCGCAGAAAGUGUAUCGUAGUCCGGAUUGUAGUCUGCAACUCGACUGCAUGAAGUUGGAAUCGCUAGUAAUCGCGGAUCAGCAUGUCGCGGUGAAUACGUUCCCGGGUCUUGUACACACCGCCCGUCACA